UACUACGCCCACAAAUUACGUACCGACCCAGAUCUUGAUGGCAUGUUGAUCAAACACCCGGACAGCUCUGCUGUGUACCAGGUAAUAGACGGCUGCAAACACCACGUUCCCGAUCCUGCGACAUUCAACAAGUUGUAUAAGAACUGGGACUGCAUCCACACUACACGCCUCACAAGUCUCAUGUGCACAUGUGACGCGCUAACGUCAGGUGCAAGACUGGCAAAGACUCCCAACCACCCGGCUGUCUACCUGAUUAGCAAUGGGCAGAAAAGACCCAUCGCCAACCCAAACACAUUCAAUGCUUUCUGCUUCGACUGGAGAAAAAUAGCAACCAUCGAUUCCAUAUCCCUUAAUGCCAUGCCUGUGGGGUCUCAAAUUAUUACAUCUAAGAUUUUUAGACUUAGAGAUGAAUAAAUAAAUAUAUAAACUAACUAAAUAUAUAUAUAUAUAUAUACAUAUCUAUUUUAGUAUGUCAAUAAUGAGAGAAAUAUAAAAUUGAAUUUCGGUACCACUUCAACGGGACUUAGUAAUAGAGUACUUUCUAAAAGAUAAGGUUGGUAAAUAUUAAAUUAUAAAAAAUAUUUUUAUUUAUAUACGUUAUUUACGAGAAAAUAAUGUGUGUGCCAAGGUAAAUGUUCAAACACGACCAAAUGUGAGAGUUUUACUCUCGGUAACUUUAUAUAUGUAAGUAUUGUUUUCAUUUGCACUUGAAUUUCUAUCAAGAAAAUAUC